rnacentral:rRNA from 1 species
AAUAGAUACCCUGGUAGUCCACGCCGUAAACGAUGAGUGCUAAGUGUUAGAGGGUUUCCGCCCUUUAGUGCUGCAGCUAACGCAUUAAGCACUCCGCCUGGGGAGUACGGCCGCAAGGCUGAAACUCAAAGGAAUUGACGGGGGCCCGCAUAAGCGGUGGAGCAUGUGGUUUAAUUCGAAGCAACGCGAAGAACCUUACCAGGUCUUGACAUCCUCUGCCAACCCUAGAGAUAGGGCGUUCCCCUUCGGGGGACAGAGUGACAGGUGGUGCAUGGUUGUCGUCAGCUCGUGUCGUGAGAUGUUGGGUUAAGUCCCGCAACGAGCGCAACCCUUGAUCUUAGUUGCCAGCAUUCAGUUGGGCACUCUAAGGUGACUGCCGGUGACAAACCGGAGGAAGGUGGGGAUGACGUCAAAUCAUCAUGCCCCUUAUGACCUGGGCUACACACGUGCUACAAUGGAUGGUACAAAGAGCUGCGAACCCGCGAGGGUAAGCGAAUCUCAUAAAGCCAUUCUCAGUUCGGAUUGU